GCUUAACACAUGCAAGUCGAACGGACCGUAUACGCAGCUUGCUGCGUGUAUGGUUAGUGGCAGACGGGUGAGUAAUGCAUAGGAAUCUACCUAGUAGUAUGGGAUAGCCACUAGAAAUGGUGGGUAAUACUGUAUAAUCCCUGCGGGGGAAAGAUUUAUCGCUAUUAGAUGAGCCUAUGUCAGAUUAGCUAGUUGGUGGGGUAAUGGCCUACCAAGGCGGUGAUCUGUAGCUGGUCUGAGAGGAUGAUCAGCCACACUGGAACUGAGACACGGUCCAGACUCCUACGGGAGGCAGCAGUGGGGAAUAUUGGACAAUGGGCGCAAGCCUGAUCCAGCUAUGCCGCGUGAGUGAGGAAGGCCUUAGGGUUGUAAAACUCUUUCAGUAGGGAAGAUAAUGACGGUACCUACAGAAGAAGUCCCGGCAAACUC
rnacentral:rRNA from 1 species